GGUUAAGCGACUAAGCGUACACGGUGGAUGCCCUGGCAGUCAGAGGCGAUGAAGGACGUGCUAAUCUGCGAUAAGCGUCGGUAAGGUGAUAUGAACCGUUAUAACCGGCGAUUUCCGAAUGGGGAAACCCAGUGUGAUUCGACACACUAUCAUUAACUGAAUCCAUAGGUUAAUGAGGCGAACCGGGGGAACUGAAACAUCUAAGUACCCCGAGGAAAAGAAAUCAACCGAGAUUCCCCCAGUAGCGGCGAGCGAACGGGGAGCAGCCCAGAGCCUGAAUCAGUGUGUGUGUUAGUGGAAGCGUCUGGAAAGGCGCGCGAUACAGGGUGACAGCCCCGUACACAAAAAUGCACAUGCUGUGAGCUCGAUGAGUAGGGCGGGACACGUGGUAUCCUGUCUGAAUAUGGGGGGACCAUCCUCCAAGGCUAAAUACUCCUGACUGACCGAUAGUGAACCAGUACCGUGAGGGAAAGGCGAAAAGAACCCCGGCGAGGGGAGUGAAAAAGAACCUGAAACCGUGUACGUACAAGCAGUGGGAGCACGCUUAGGCGUGUGACUGCGUACCUUUUGUAUAAUGGGUCAGCGACUUAUAUUCUGUAGCAAGGUUAACCGAAUAGGGGAGCCGAAGGGAAACCGAGUCUUAACUGGGCGUUAAGUUGCAGGGUAUAGACCCGAAACCCGGUGAUCUAGCCAUGGGCAGGUUGAAGGUUGGGUAACACUAACUGGAGGACCGAACCGACUAAUGUUGAAAAAUUAGCGGAUGACUUGUGGCUGGGGGUGAAAGGCCAAUCAAACCGGGAGAUAGCUGGUUCUCCCCGAAAGCUAUUUAGGUAGCGCCUCGUGAAUUCAUCUCCGGGGGUAGAGCACUGUUUCGGCAAGGGGGUCAUCCCGACUUACCAACCCGAUGCAAACUGCGAAUACCGGAGAAUGUUAUCACGGGAGACACACGGCGGGUGCUAACGUCCGUCGUGAAGAGGGAAACAACCCAGACCGCCAGCUAAGGUCCCAAAGUCAUGGUUAAGUGGGAAACGAUGUGGGAAGGCCCAGACAGCCAGGAUGUUGGCUUAGAAGCAGCCAUCAUUUAAAGAAAGCGUAAUAGCUCACUGGUCGAGUCGGCCUGCGCGGAAGAUGUAACGGGGCUAAACCAUGCACCGAAGCUGCGGCAGCGACGCUGAUGCGUUGUUGGGUAGGGGAGCGUUCUGUAAGCCUGCGAAGGUGUGCUGUGAGGCAUGCUGGAGGUAUCAGAAGUGCGAAUGCUGACAUAAGUAACGAUAAAGCGGGUGAAAAGCCCGCUCGCCGGAAGACCAAGGGUUCCUGUCCAACGUUAAUCGGGGCAGGGUGAGUCGACCCCUAAGGCGAGGCCGAAAGGCGUAGUCGAUGGGAAACAGGUUAAUAUUCCUGUACUUGGUGUUACUGCGAAGGGGGGACGGAGAAGGCUAUGUUGGCCGGGCGACGGUUGUCCCGGUUUAAGCGUGUAGGCUGGUUUUCCAGGCAAAUCCGGAAAAUCAAGGCUGAGGCGUGAUGACGAGGCACUACGGUGCUGAAGCAACAAAUGCCCUGCUUCCAGGAAAAGCCUCUAAGCAUCAGGUAACAUCAAAUCGUACCCCAAACCGACACAGGUGGUCAGGUAGAGAAUACCAAGGCGCUUGAGAGAACUCGGGUGAAGGAACUAGGCAAAAUGGUGCCGUAACUUCGGGAGAAGGCACGCUGAUAUGUAGGUGAAGUCCCUCGCGGAUGGAGCUGAAAUCAGUCGAAGAUACCAGCUGGCUGCAACUGUUUAUUAAAAACACAGCACUGUGCAAACACGAAAGUGGACGUAUACGGUGUGACGCCUGCCCGGUGCCGGAAGGUUAAUUGAUGGGGUCAGCGCAAGCGAAGCUCUUGAUCGAAGCCCCGGUAAACGGCGGCCGUAACUAUAACGGUCCUAAGGUAGCGAAAUUCCUUGUCGGGUAAGUUCCGACCUGCACGAAUGGCGUAAUGAUGGCCAGGCUGUCUCCACCCGAGACUCAGUGAAAUUGAACUCGCUGUGAAGAUGCAGUGUACCCGCGGCAAGACGGAAAGACCCCGUGAACCUUUACUAUAGCUUGACACUGAACAUUGAGCCUUGAUGUGUAGGAUAGGUGGGAGGCUUUGAAGUGUGGACGCCAGUCUGCAUGGAGCCGACCUUGAAAUACCACCCUUUAAUGUUUGAUGUUCUAACGUGGACCCGUAAUCCGGGUUGCGGACAGUGUCUGGUGGGUAGUUUGACUGGGGCGGUCUCCUCCUAAAGAGUAACGGAGGAGCACGAAGGUUGGCUAAUCCUGGUCGGACAUCAGGAGGUUAGUGCAAUGGCAUAAGCCAGCUUGACUGCGAGCGUGACGGCGCGAGCAGGUGCGAAAGCAGGUCAUAGUGAUCCGGUGGUUCUGAAUGGAAGGGCCAUCGCUCAACGGAUAAAAGGUACUCCGGGGAUAACAGGCUGAUACCGCCCAAGAGUUCAUAUCGACGGCGGUGUUUGGCACCUCGAUGUCGGCUCAUCACAUCCUGGGGCUGAAGUAGGUCCCAAGGGUAUGGCUGUUCGCCAUUUAAAGUGGUACGCGAGCUGGGUUUAGAACGUCGUGAGACAGUUCGGUCCCUAUCUGCCGUGGGCGCUGGAGAACUGAGGGGGGCUGCUCCUAGUACGAGAGGACCGGAGUGGACGCAUCACUGGUGUUCGGGUUGUCAUGCCAAUGGCACUGCCCGGUAGCUAAAUGCGGAAGAGAUAAGUGCUGAAAGCAUCUAAGCACGAAACUUGCCCCGAGAUGAGUUCUCCCUGACUCCUUGAGAGUCCUGAAGGAACGUUGAAGACGACGACGUUGAUAGGCCGGGUGUGUAAGCGCAGCGAUGCGUUGAGCUAACCGGUACUAAUGAACCGUGAGGCUUAACCUU
rnacentral:rRNA from 1 species